CGUAGGGGGCGAGCGUUAUCCGGAAUCAUUGGGCGUAAAGGGCGCGUAGGCGGAUAUUUAAGUCAGGUGUGAAAGCCCAGGGCUCAACCUUGGGAUUGCAUCUGAUACUGGGUAUCUUGAGGACAGGAGAGGAAAGUGGAAUUCCUAGUGUAGCGGUGAAAUGCGUAGAUAUUAGGAGGAACACCAGUGGCGAAGGCGACUUUCUGGACUGUAACUGACGCUGAGGCGCGAAAGCGUGGGGGAGCAAACAGGAUUAGAUACCCUGGUAGUCCACGCCGUAAACGAUGAGUGCUAGGUGUAGGGGGUAUCGACCCCUCCUGUCGCCGCAGUUAACACAAUAAGCGCUCCGCCUGGGGAGUACGGCCGCAAGGUUG
rnacentral:rRNA from 1 species